rnacentral:rRNA from 1 species
AUUGAACGCUGGCGGCAUGCCUUACACAUGCAAGUCGAACGGCAGCACGGGAGCAAUCCUGGUGGCGAGUGGCGAACGGGUGAGUAAAGUAUCGGAACGUGCCCAGUCGUGGGGGAUAACGUAGCGAAAGUUACGCUAAUACCGCAUACGAUCUAUGGAUGAAAGCGGGGGAUCGCAAGACCUCGCGCGAUUGGAGCGGCCGAUAUCAGAUUAGGUAGUUGGUGGGGUAAAGGCUCACCAAGCCGACGAUCUGUAGCUGGUCUGAGAGGACGACCGGCCACACUGGGACUGAGACACGGCGCAGACUCCGACGGGAGGCAGCAGUGGGGGAUUUUGGACAAUGGGCGAAAGCCUGAUCCAGCCAUGCCGCGUGCAGGAUGAAGGCCUUCGGGUUGUAAACUGCUUUUGUACGGAACGAAAAGGUUUGGCCUAAUAAGCUGAGCUCAUGACGGUACCGUAAGAAUAAGCACCGGCUAACUACGUGCCAGCCGCCGCCGUAA